rnacentral:rRNA from 1 species
UUGAAAGGGAAACGAUUGAAGUCAGUCGUACCAGCGGGAAUCAACCUUUCUAUUGGGGAUUUUGGAGUUUUUUGAAAAUGUCAAAACCUUUAACAUUUCAAAAUAUUCGCUCUUUUGGUUUACUUUCUCUUCGAUAGUUAACAUCGAUUUUGAUCAUCAUAAAAAGAUUGGAGGAAUUACUUCAUCUUUAUUAAUUUAUACCUUUGUAAAUGUAUAUUANAUCANAUUCAACAAUACCCUUUUNNCUAUCCCCUAUCUCUAUACUNCCUUNUAUCAAACUCUUAUGUAUUANUAUUACNUCAAAANUUAAACGAUUACAUUCGUUAAGGAUGUUGACGUA